GAAAACGAUAUCCCCAAUGUUAAUUAACUAGACGUACCUUUGAUAUGAUUCUUGGCAUUCUAAUAUUAAUAUCAAAGAUAUUUUCGGUUAUGUCUAUUCUGUGCAUAUGGUUGACACACCUUUCAAUUUUAGGCUGUGACGCGGUUCGCUAGCGGCCGAUUUGCAAGCCCUCGAGUCCAUUUCAGUAUAAUUCUCUGAUAACGUCG
rnacentral:lncRNA from 1 species